rnacentral:misc_RNA from 1 species
UCAAACUUGGUCAUUUAGAGGAAGUAAAAGUCGUAACAAGGUUUCCGUAGGUGAACCUGCGGAAGGAUCAUUACAGGUCACGCUGAGGUAUGGAUUCUACUCAUUUUGGGGUAGAACCUUAUCUCGGUAGCCAUGAUCAUCCCUUUGUGCACGAAUUGAUACUCUUACGGGCUUUGGCAGAUGUAAAAGUUUGCCAAAGUUUUCCGUCAGCAAUAAACUUUGUCUGCAUUUUUGACUGUAUUUAUUUGAGCAAAUAACACAAUACAACUUUCAACAACGGAUCUCUUGGCUCUCGCAUCGAUGAAGAACGCAGC